rnacentral:lncRNA from 1 species
AAUUACUUGUCCCUCUAACAUUGCUGAGUAUGUCCCAAUUGGAGCCAAACACUGCCAUUUGUCCAGUUGCUUAUCUUAAUCUGCCAGUCUCCCUCAGCUGAGGGCAUGGCAUGUAAUUUACUGCACUCUGCCCACUACAGCACUCUACAGCCUGCAGUGAGAGCCUUGGCUAUUGGAUAGGUCCAGACUAAGGUGGAUUGUUGACUUGUCCAGAUCAGAUGAUUCUGACUCACUAGGGAGCUAGCCUGGGUCUCCAGUGGUCCUGCCUGCCACCUCUCCUGCCCACAACAGGGCCCACUAGGCAUAAGUACUGAUAACAAAGGCAGGAGCCAGUGCUAACCUCUGAAGAUGGCCUCAAACCCCUUUAUUGGCUUAGAGGUUAGUGUGGACGAUUGAGGCUUACUGCUGUCUACCAUGUAUUGCCAAAACAGAUGGAACCAGUUAGGUCAGCCUGGCACCAAGAUGACGAAUACCUGCCAGGUCUAGACCCUCAGGAAAAUAGUACCGUCUUUGGUAUAUCUCUCCUCCAGAAAGCCCUUUUAAGCCCUUUGAACCUGUUGUAGCCAGUUGGACAUGGCUUAGCUUGGACUCAUUACUGCUUACAAACUCUUUAGUAAAAGGAUCAAGUAUUUGUUUUAAUUUAUACUAAGAAGGGACAUAUGCAACAAAAUGAGAUCAAAUGUCUAUUUUUUUUUUAAAGAUUAGAAAGAUAUGAAAGUCAUCUCCUAGCCAAGGCAACUCAUCAAAUACUGGAUGGAGUGAGAAAUUUGGGCUUGGUGGUAGUUGAGGCUUG